GCAUGGCUGAAUUCUGUUUUACUCUUUCUGUGGUAAACACAGUCAGACACCAUGCCAGAUUACCCCUCUCUCUCAUUCGGUCAUGGUAGUACCAUCUCCAUGUUUAUUACUAAUGUGAGGGGGAGAUACACAU
ensembl:snoRNA